rnacentral:rRNA from 1 species
AUGGCCUCCGGCUCCGCUAGCCCGGCCUCGGUUUCUUCCAGACUCCAGCCCAUCGUCUCCGACCUGGGGUUGUCUGCGUCGUCCGACUCGGGGGAGCGCUCGACUGGGGCUGGAGGCGCGCCGGCUGGGGCCAACCCUGGGCCUGCCGCGGGCUCCGCCAUGCCGUGGCGCAAGCCUGGGCCUUCACGCAAGGCGCUGUGGCGCAAAAGAAAGGCCUUUCGUAAGCAGCAGGCGGCGGCGGGUGGAGUCCGGCCAUGUUCGUCGCGUUCCCCGGCUCUGUCGCCGGAGCGGAGGGAGAUCCCGUCGGACCUGUUCGGUCUCUGCUUCAGUUGCUUUCGCGAGGGCCAUCGUCGGGAAGAUUGUUGGUUCCCUCCGCUCUGCAUCCGGUGCGGCCUGGAGGGUCACAUAUCCACGGACUGCAAGCGGCCUCGGAGCCCCAGGUCAGAGGAAGAUCUCCGGCGAGAUGCGGUGGCUAAGGUAGCGCGUGCGUCGCAGCCUCUGAUGCAGGCCGGACCUGCGAACAGGCUGUCGCCGGCGACUAGGCAGGCCACUCCCUUGGAGAGGCCCUCGUCAGUCCCGGCCGACACCGCACCUGUGGGGUCUGGGCAGGCUUCGGUUGCCGCUGCUGCUACCGGGAGUAUCUGCGUGCUUCGCCGGACGCAGGAGACGGAGGAUCUCGAGCAACGUUUGAGGUUGGAGGUGGUUGCCUAUGUGGGAGGAACACGGCCGGUGGUGUCUUGCCAGGAGGCGGCGGAGGCCUUGUCGGAGGAGUUGCGCAUACCUGGCCAUCGUUUCUCCGUUCAUAAAUACCACCCGGAGGAUUUCUUGGUUGUUUUUGCGGCGCCGGAGUUGCGCAACAGAGCUUUGGCGGCGGGCACCGUAGAGCACGGGUUCUUCAAGCUGUUCGUCAAACCGUGGCUCAAGCAAGCUCAAGCUGUUACGAGAGUGAUGCGCACUCAAGUGGACAUUAUGAUUGAGGGGAUUCCUUCUCAUACGUGGACGACUGAGACGGCGGCGGAGAUUCUUGGCACGUCAUGUCUGGUGGAGAGCUUAGCGCCGGAGACAGAGAAUAGAGAGGACUUGUCCCUCUUCAAGCUUCGGGCAUGGUGCAUCGACCCGGACGAGGUGCCGGUGGCCAAGCGUAUUUGGGUGCCGGAGCCGGAGGUGUUUGGAGGACCGGCGGCGCGGCGGCCCACGUCGCGUGCCUUGCUGGAGUACAAGACGCUCAUUCACAUAGGGUGGAUGCGAGAUCAUGAGGGGCCGGAGCGCUGGCUGCGGCCGCCGAGUUCUGAUGGGAGUGGCCAAAGCGGGAUACCGGACGACUCCGAGGACUUCUCCGGCCGGGUUGAGUGGCGUGUUUUGCCAUGGACAAGGGGAGUUCGUGAUCACCGCGGUGGGGCGCCGGCAAGCGGAGUGCAUGGAGGUUCCUAUCUCCAUGCGCUGACGGGGCGCAUCGGGCCGUCUGAAUGGAGAAUCCCGCCGAUGGCGCGCGGCUCGGUGGUGACGGUGCGCGCACCGGCGAUCGCCACCGGGACUGCGGUGUCGGGAGCGAGACGGGAGGUUGAGGAAAUUGCUGCGUGUGUGCCGCCAGCAGCGCAGCGGGAGGUUGAAGAUACAGCCGUUCGCAUGCCACCAGCGACGAGGCUGGCCACAGAAGAUCCGGGUCGGAGCUGUGGGGCCAUGCCUACGUCCGAGGCUGCAGUGGCUGAUUUGGUGCAGUGGGUUCCGAUUGGGUCGUUUGAAACGGCUUUUGACCAAGGAGAGUCUGGGGAUCGCGCGACCACUAAUGGAGGAUUGCAGCUAAUGAUUGAUUUUGGGCCCUCUGCGGAUCCCGGAGGAAUAGAUAAGGCUCUGGAGGAUACAACAUUGGUGGAUCCAAAUCAGGCUUGCUCUGGUGCGGCGCGUGUGGACGCGGGUUUGCUGGACCGGCCGGUGGGGGCCGCCUCAGACCAGCCUGCCACGGAACCCGAGGUGGAAUCUGUGAAGUGUUCCCAUGUGGCAUUGCUGGCCGACAAAGCAGCAGACGGGUGGGCCCCGGUGACAGAUUUGUUGCUACCAACGACAGAGGAAGGGGAGGUGGUUCCAGGAGUUGGUUCGUCGGACUGCAGACCCACGCCACAGGAGAUGGGGUGCGCUGAUGUGACUACGCCUAGCGCGUGCAUGCAGGAGCCGCUGCAUGGCACUAACGAAGCGGUGGCUAUGGCUUGUGUGGUGGCAACACAUCACCAAGAGGGACACCUCUCCGCCAAGGAAAUUGUGGCGUUGGGUAACAUCAAAGCCUUCUGUGCGGGCCUCCUCAAGAAACUUGCACCACCUCUUCUCAAGGAGUUCGAGGGACUGAGAGGAGUCAAAGCGGGCCAGGACCCAUUCACACCGCGCCGCACUACCCGAUCCGUUUGCUCUGGUGGAGCCAGGAAGACGAAGGCAUCGGCUGCGGAAACGGUGUUGCUGAAAACCCUGGGGUUUGACUGCGAUGAUCUGGCGGUAUCCGAGGACGCGCUAGGUCAGCUACGUACGGUCUUUGACUCACCGUUACAGGAGCCGCAAUUGAGGGCUAUAGCGGCCAUCUUCGGGAAGGCAAUACCGCUAAACCUAGCGGGGGAGACUGGGAGGGCUGAACCCCUUUUGGCGCAGUAG